AGAGUUCCUUUCUGGCUCAGGAUGAACGCUGGCGGCGUGCUUAACACAUGCAAGUCGAACGGAGAUAACAUUUUCGAAGCUUUCAGUUUACUAAGAGCGGAGAUGUUGCUAUCUUAGUGGCGGACGGGUGAGUAACGCGUGGGUAACCUGCCUUGCACUGGGGGAUAACACUUAGAAAUAGGUGCUAAUACCGCAUAACAGAGGGAGUCGCAUGACUUCGUCUUAAAAACUCCGGUGGUGUAAGAUGGACCCGCGUCUGAUUAGCUUGUUGGCGGGGUAACGGCCCACCAAGGCGACGAUCAGUAGCCGGCCUGAGAGGGUGAACGGCCACAUUGGGACUGAGACACGGCCCAAACUCCUACGGGAGGCAGCAGUGGGGAAUAUUGGACAAUGGGGGGAACCCUGAUCCAGCGACGCCGCGUGAGUGAAGAAGUAUUUCGGUAUGUAAGGCUCUAUCAGCAGGGAAGAAAGAAAUGACGGUACCUGACUAAGAAGCCCCGGCUAACUACGUGCCAGCAGCCGCGGUAAUACGUAGGGGGCAAGCGUUAUCCGGAUUUACUGGGUGUAAAGGGAGCGUAGACGGCGAUGCAAGUCUGAAGUGAAAGGCGGGGGCCCAACCCCCGGACUGCUUUGGAAACUGUAUGGCUGGAGUGCAGGAGAGGUAAGUGGAAUUCCUAGUGUAGCGGUGAAAUGCGUAGAUAUUAGGAGGAACACCAGUGGCGAAGGCGGCUUACUGGACUGUAACUGACGUUGAGGCUCGAAAGCGGGGGGAGCAAACAGGAUUAGAUACCCUGGUAGUCCACGCCGUAAACG
rnacentral:rRNA from 1 species